rnacentral:rRNA from 1 species
AUUGAACGCUGGCGGCAUGCCUUACACAUGCAAGUCGAACGGCAGCACGGGAGCAAUCCUGGUGGCGAGUGGCGAACGGGUGAGUAAUAUAUCGGAACGUGCCCAGUCGUGGGGGAUAACGCAGCGAAAGCUGUGCUAAUACCGCAUACGAUCUAUGGAUGAAAGCGGGGGAUCGCAAGACCUCGCGCGAUUGGAGCGGCCGAUAUCAGAUUAGCUAGUUGGUGAGGUAAAGGCUCACCAAGGCGACGAUCUGUAGCGGGUCUGAGAGGAUGAUCCGCCACACUGGAACUGAGACACGGUCCAGACUCCUACGGGAGGCAGCAGUGGGGAAUUUUGGACAAUGGGCGCAAGCCUGAUCCAGCCAUGCCGCGUGAGUGAAGAAGGCCU